UAGUGAUUAGAUCUGAGCAAGAGAUUAAAUAUUAAAUUUCAGUCUUUCUAAUUAUGUAUUCGGCCAAAAUCCGCCACUGCACGUCAAGACAAAUGAGUAUUAUUAAAUGUACAAAUAUUAUUUGGCAUAGAUUUUUAUUUUUAUUUUAUUUUCAACUUUUUUCUUCUAUAAAUAGGUUUUGGUUUGUGUUGAUUAGCAUCACCAAACAUACACUAUCCUAAUCUUAAAGGUUAUAGCUCUUUUACAAAAUAUAUAUCAUCAAUAUGAAGCAGGCAAUUUUUCUGGUGCUCUUGCUUGUUUUGGCAGCAGAGGUUGCGCCAAAAAUAGCAGAAGCAAGGACAUGUACUACUCCUAGUCACACAUUCAAAGGAAUAUGCGUUAGCAGCAGGAAUUGUGAAUCAAAUUGCAAUUCUGAGAGAUUUCCUAGUGGAAGUUGUCAAGGCUUUCGUAGAAGAUGCAUGUGCAGCAGGCCUUGUGAAUAAUAAUUCACAAGUCAUGUUAUCGUCCAUUCAUCUACGUACGUUGCAGUUGUUGUCGUUGCAUUAAGAGUUUUCCUCGUGAGGAUAGUCUAUUAAUGUUUCCUUUUCUUUUCUUGCUCCUUAUGUUUACAAGAAAAAGUACGUUGAUGUAAAAAAAAAAAAUUAAGGCUUGAUACUCGUAAAAGAUAUACUGCUUGAAGGCUACUAGCCGGCUUAUUGUGUGUAAUAAUAUGGACGGUUUUGUAUCUUUGUAUUUGUACUUUUAAUAUCAUGUCAUCUCUUUUAUUUACGUAUU